GCUGUGGUAGUGCAAUGGUUAGUAUUUUUGCUUCGCAAGCAAGAAGACCCGGGUUCGAGUCCCGGCCACAGCA
rnacentral:tRNA from 1 species